ACCCCUCUAAUCCUUCAAACUUCCACUUUUGGCAUUGAGGACUUGGAAUUUCUGCAGAAUUCCAGUAACAACUUGGAUAGUUUUUGGAAUUGUGCUUUGUGGGAGCCUCCAAUUGCUGUGGGGAAGGAUUUCAUGGAUUGUGGACUUGUUCGAUAGUGGGUGGAACCAAUUUAACAGCAAGUAAUUGAGGUCAAAUUGCUGUUUUCUUGGGGUUUUAGUGUUCUUGAGCUGAAAUUUGGAUUUUUUUAGUCUUCUUGGGUCCGAAUCUUGUUGGAGCUGGAUUUUGGAAGUUGGAAUUGAUCUUCCAUCAUCCUCUACUGGUUUUGAACCCGUCCAUCACCUGAAUUGCAACUUGGAAGAUUUUGAUGGAGAGCCUAUUGCUGGUUAUGGAGUGAUCCCUCACUCAUCCAUGGAGGUUUUGGACCCUUCUUUACAGAAAUUAGAAGUUAGAAUUCUCGGAUUUCAGCUAUGUGCAUUGGAAUGCCUAGUGCAGGAAUUCUGGAUGCAAGAUUUGAGCACCCAGAAAGUGGAUCCGAAGCUGGUUUGAGGGCCUUUUGGUGAUCGAAUUGAGCUCUUUUUUGGUGGGGAACCUAGGGAAUUAUUUUUAGGCAUCUAGAGGCUGAAGCUGCCAACGUACUGUUUUGGACCCUUGAUCCGGGCGCCCAGAAUUAGCCGCAGGAGGAUCCAGAUCUGACAGCAACCAGGUUUGAUUUCGGUUGAGGCUAGUUUUGUGCAGGGCUUUUUCUAUCAACUUCUAGCCGUUGUUGGACUAGCGUUUAAGGUGGGUUGAUGUUGUCCGAAGCCUACAGAAUGCCUCCUACGCAUAUAAAACCCCAGCAUGUAUAGUUUUACAUAUAAUCAUCAUGUUUUGUAGCUCAAACUAUAGAUUUGCAUGUUAUAGGUGAAAUCUAAGUUUUGGAGCAUGCUUAACUAAUUUAUAAUGAUCAUUAUCUGCUGAACUAGGAUUUGACUUAGGAGAAAAUUUAUUAAACCUACACCUCUCACUUUUCGAAAAGUUAACAGUAUUAGCGUCAGGAACUGAUUUUCCUUUUAUAUCACCGUUGUUAGUGCGUCAUGGAUACUUAAACUAGUGUAGGGUGAAAUUACGCUCAUGCUGAGGGGCCGAGCUCGUUUCUACAGCAGAGUUAGGCUAUUUUGUAUUAUCGGGAGCCAUCGGGGCUGACGGUGGACCCAGAUCUUCUAUCUUGUAUCAGAUUGUGCCGAGGGUGCGUGUGUAAGGAUUUGGCUCCUCGGCGCUUCGUGCCACUUUUGGUCAAAAUGACCAAAGUGUGGCGAGAGGUAUGAUUGGGCAUAGUCCACAUCUUGUUCCGAUAAUGUCGGAAGGGUUAGAAUUGAGUUCCGAAGGUGUUUAGCUGGUUUUAGCAUUGUUCGGCACGAAAUUGGGCUUAAACACUGCUAAACUGCAGUUUGGGCAUUGCGUACCAAUAUUGGGAUCUGGUACCUGUACCUGAUAAUGAGGCAGAGAAAGUCUGCUCUCGGGUUUGAGUUUGGGGCCCUGCGUACCGAUACUGCUGGCCGCGUACAGGUACCUGAUAAAUAACCCGAGAAGGGUUGCUCUCAGGUUUGGUUACUGCGAAGCUGUGUACCGGUACUGGAAUCCACGUAUCGGUACUGGAAUCCGCGUACUGGUACUGGGGCACCCGCGUACCGGUACUCAGUCCCGUGUACCGAUACCUCCCGGCCUAUCCAAAUUGGGUGCUCUCGGGUUGAGAUGUCCACCCGGGGGUACCGGUACUCAAGCCCGAGUACCGGUACCCAAUGUUAAAGUGUGCAAAAUGGGCACUGUUGCAAUUAUGUUUAAUUGGAGGGCUUAAAUGUAAUUGUGGAGACUUAUAGAUAGACUCAACCCUCUCCUCUCAUGCACACAAGCUGAAAACACCCAUUUUCUUCCUCUCUUCUCAUCUCCCUCUCCUUCUCUCUCUAGGAUCUCUCCAACAAGGUGGAUUGGAGAGGAUUUGGAAGGAUUUUGGAGCUUGGAGUAGAAGAGGCUCUCCUAUAAGGUGGAGCUUGAGGUCUAAAGGUGACCAAGGUAAGGGUUUGCAAGUUCUAACCUAGGGUUGCUUUAGUUGGCCUAGAAUCCAUGUUUCAGGGUUUUUGUGGGUUAGAAACCUAGAGUGAUCCAUGGUUUUCCAUGGUGAUGGGUGCUUAACCAUGACAUGUGAAACCCUAGGGUUGAAAUUGGGGUUUUUGUAGAUAUAGGGUUUAUAGUGAAAUUAAUCCCUUAAUUCUGUAGUUGAAGGUUAAAUAGAUGCGUAGGGAGGCUCAAAGCGAAGUUCCUACGAGUUUACGGCGUAUCAUUGAGGAAAAACACUGUUUUCCAUUCGUUAACCUUGGGUCGAGCUAGGACGAUGUCGUAAAAUUGCAGGACUUGGUUUCUCGCCUCCUAGCAUCAAACCAAGAUGGGUGGUACUAUCCGAAACAAUCGGACUUCUCUCUAUGUCUAUGUUACUAUUGUUGGCCAUGUAUGUAUAUAUGUAAAAUCAUGCAUUGCAGAGUAGUGAAGAUCAUACACUCAUUCUUGGUAUGCUUUCAUAAUAAAUGUAGAAAAUAUGUGAUGGAACAUAGAUGUAUAUGCAUAAGGAUUGGGUCUUGAACAAUGGAAUCUCUAUAGUGCCAUGAAUGAAAUAUGAACUUAGACAACAUAGUGACAUGGAUUUGUGGCAUUUGGAUUAGUAAUCGAUAACACACAUGACAUUAGUUGUUAGGGAUGGAUAGAUCUCGAGUAUUGUUGCCCCUAGUUGGUAGGGUAUCCUCGAGUCUAAAGGAUUGGAUUGU